AUUCAGAUGAUGAGUCUCAAAUAAGACGAUACGCGUGUCAAACUGGAU
rnacentral:hammerhead_ribozyme from 1 species